AUGUCUUGCAGCUGUGGAUCAAGCUGCGGCUGCGGCUCAAACUGCAACUGCGGCAAGAUGUACCCUAACUCGGAGAAGAGCGGCGCCACCAUGCAGGCCACCGCCGUCGUCCUCGGCGUCAGGCCCGCGAAGGUGCAGUUCGAGGAGGCCGCCGAGUCCGGUGAGGCCGCCCACAGCUGCAGCUGCGGCGCCAGCUGCAAGUGCGACCCUUGCAACUGCUAA
rnacentral:rRNA from 1 species